rnacentral:rRNA from 1 species
ACAUACGACCACAGGCAACAGAAAAUACCGCGUCCCGUCUGCUCCGCGUUCGUCAAGCUGUUGACCGGCAGAUUAGUAGUUGGGUCGGUGACGACCAGCGAACACCGGCUGUUGUAUGUC